UACGUAGGGUGCAAGCGUUGUUCGGAAUUACUGGGCGUAAAGCGCGCGUAGGCGGGCUUGAAAGUUGAUUGUGAAAGCCCUGGGCUUAACCCGGGAAUGGCAGUCAAAACUACAAGUCUUGAGUGCCUGGGAGGAUGGCGGAAUUCCCGGUGUAGUAGUGAAUACGUAGAUAUCGGGAAGAACACCUGAGAACGAAGGCGGCUAUCUGGCGGUGCACUGACGCUGAGGCGCGAAGCGUGGGAGCAAACAGG
rnacentral:rRNA from 1 species